UCUGUAUUGUACCUCGGAAACCUCAGAGAGGCUAGUACUGUAUUGUACUCAAACCUCAGAGAGAGGCUAGUAUCUGUAUUGUACCUCAGGAACCUCAGAGAGAGAGGCUAGUAUCUGUAUUGUACCUCAGGAACCUCAGAGAGAGAGGCUAGUAUCUGUAUUGUACCUCAGGAAUCCUCCAGUACGAGGCUAGUAUCUGUAUUGUACCUCAGGCACCUCAGAGAGGCAGUAUCUGUAUGUUUAG
rnacentral:lncRNA from 1 species